CGAGUCGAACGAGAAAGUGGAGCAAUCCAUGAGUAAAGUGGCGCACGGGUGAGUAACACGUGACUAACCUACCCUUGAGUGGGGAAUAACUUCGGGAAACCGAGGCUAAUACCGCAUAACACCUACGGGUCAAAGGAGCAAUUCGCUUAAGGAGGGGGUCGCGGCAGAUUAGUUAGUUGGCGGGGUAAUGGCCCACCAAGACGGUGAUCUGUAUCCGGCCUGAGAGGGCGCACGGACACACUGGAACUGAAACACGGUCCAGACUCCUACGGGAGGCAGCAGUGGGGAAUUUUGCGCAAUGGGGGAAACCCUGACGCAGCAACGCCGCGUGGAGGAUGAAGUCCCUUGGGACGUAAACUCCUUUCGAUCGGGACGAUUAUGACGGUACCGGAAGAAGAAGCCCCGGCUAACUUCGUGCCAGCAGCCGCGGUAAUACGAGGGGGGCGAGCGUUGUUCGGAAUUAUUGGGCGUAAAGGGCGCGUAGGCGGUCGGAUAAGUCUUGUGUGAAAUCUUCGGGCUCAACUCGAAGUCUGCACAGGAAACUAUCUGGCUUGAGUGUGGGAGAGGUGAGUGGAAUUCCUGGUGUAGCGGUGAAAUGCGUAGAUAUCAGGAGGAACACCUGUGGCGAAAGCGGCUCACUGGACCACAACUGACGCUGAGGCGCGAAAGCUAGGGGAGCAAACAGGAUUAGAUACCCUGGUAGUCCUAGCCCUAAACGAUGAUUGCUUGGUGUGACGGGUACCCAAUCCCGCCGUGCCGCAGCUAACGCGUUAAGCAAUCCGCCUGGGGAGUACGGUCGCAAGGCUGAA
rnacentral:rRNA from 1 species